rnacentral:lncRNA from 1 species
AGCGCAGCCAAACAUGGGGCUGUAUUCAUCAGUAUUUAUAUACAGAAAAUGUAAACAAGUACUUUUCAUUAGCUGACAAGCUUGAAUUUUAUGUUGUCAUAUUAUUAAUUAAAACAAUAUUUGAAUAAUAUUUUUACUUAAUUAAAAUUACCUAUUAUUUGCUACUUAAUAAUUGGUUUUGUUCAUUCAACUUGCUGCAAAUAACCAUCAUCCAUUGUUGUUAAUAUUAUGUUAUUAUCAGUAUUUUUUUAUUUUUUCAAUUGUCAUGGCGAAUCAAGAUCAAAAAUUGGUUGCUCAAGUGACAGAUGGUCCAACAAUUAAAUCUAAAACUAUAUUGCUCUAACUUCUGAUGACUAAUAUAUUUUAAAUGACAAUGAAAAUUACAUGAUGAUGGUACUCAAUCUUGGUUUUACAAACAUCUUAAGUCAGAGCUUAGAAAUGUACCGAAUGAUACUCGUGAUACUUUAUAAUGCUUUGAAUUAUAUUGCACUUGUUUAUUUAGUACGAACGCACACAGAAAACACCAAAGUUUGCGUACUUGCAAUCGUA